AUGUCAGUUUCGUUAUUACAACCUUAUUUUUUUAUGUCAAAGACAAAAAGCUACGCGCAAAUUCUCAUUGCAUCUCGGUUGUUCUUAACAGCGAUGGCUAUUCAUUUAAGUCUUCGGGUAGCACCACCAGAUCUUCAACAAGGUGGAAAUUCUCAUAUUUCGUAUGUACAUGUUCCUGCGGCUCGGAUGAGUAUAGUUAUUUAUAUCGCGACAGCUAUAAACAGUUCCUUGUUCCCAUUAACACAACAUCCCCUUUUUCUUCGCUCUUCCGGAACCGGUACAGAAAUUGGUGCUUUUUCUACUUUGUUUACGUUAGUGACUGGGGGGUUUCGGGGAAGGCCUAUGUGGGGUACCUUUCGGGUGUGGGAUGCUCGUUUAACUUCUGUAUUCAUCUUGUUCCUUAUUUACCUGGGUGCACUGCGUUUUCAAAAGCUUCCUGUCGAACCGGCUCCUAUUUUAAUCCAUGCUGGACCGAUCGAUAUACCAAUAAUAAAGUCUCCAGUCAACUGGUGGAAUACAUCGCAUCAACCUGGGAGCAUUAGCCGAUCUGGUACAUCAAUACAUGUUCCUAUGCCCAUUCCAAUCUUGUCUAACUUUGCUAACUUCCCCUUCUCUACCUGUAUCUUGUUCGUUCUGGAAACACGUCUUCCUAUUCCAUCUUUUCCCGAAUCUCCCUUAACGGAAGAAAUAGAAGCUCGAGAAGGAAUACCACUAAAAACCUAG
rnacentral:rRNA from 1 species